rnacentral:rRNA from 1 species
GACGAACGCUGGCGGCGUGCUUAACACAUGCAAGUCGAACGGAAAGGCCCUGCUUUUGUGGGGUGCUCGAGUUGCGAACGGGUGAGUAACACGUGAGUAACCUGCCCUUGACUUUGGGAUAACUUCAGGAAACUUGGUCUAAUACCGGAUAGGAGCUCCUGCUUCUUGGUGGGGGCUGGAUAGUUUCGGCGGUUGGGGAUGGACUCGCGUCCUAUCAGCUUGUUGGUGGGGUAGUGGCUUACCAAGGCUUUGACGGGUAGCCGGCCUGAGAGGGUGACCGGCCACAUUGGGACUGAGAUACGGCCCAGACUCCUACGGGAGGCAGCAGUGGGGAAUAGUGCACAAUGGGCGGAAGCCUGAUGCAGCAAAGCCGCGUGCGGGAUGACGGCAUUCGGGUUGUGAACCGCUUUCGCCUGUGACGAAGCGUGAGUGACGGUAAUGGGUAAAGAAGCACCGGCUAACUACGUG